AAAAAAAAAAAAAAAAAAAAAAAAACUGACUGAGAUUAUUGUUAUUUCAUUUUGGUAAGCUCCCUACUGAAGGUAAACUGAAAAGAAAAGUAAAACAAGAUAUACUACUACUGUAAAGGGUUGCAUUCAUUUCAGCUCACAGUGACAACUCUGCUCUCCAAAAGUGCUAAGUUUUGGCAGCUCAAUCCAGCUUCACAGAAGAGAACAAGUAGUGCACAAACCAGAAUGAUGAAAGAAACCCAACUGUUCCGGUUGCAAACAUAAUUGCUAGAACCAUUAGAAGAGAAUACCCCAGAUACAGUGUUGCAGAGACCGGCCCACUUAAACUCUUGAGAUCAAAUAC
rnacentral:misc_RNA from 1 species